rnacentral:tRNA from 1 species
GCCAGUGUAGCUUAGUGGUUAGGGUAUAAUUGGACUGAGAUUUGAAAGACUCGGAUUCAAAUCCCCACUCUGCCA